GGUCGGAGCAUCUUACGAUGUGACGGCGUGCCUUUUGCAUAAUGAUCCUACGAGUUACCGUCACUGGCGAGGUUGAGUGUCAUGAGACACGUAGCCGCAGUGAAAGCGAGCCUGAAUAGGGCGCAUAGUCAGUGGGGGUAGACGCGAAACCAAGUGAUCUACACUUGGCCAGGAUGAAGUCCCGGUAACACGGGAUGGAGGUCCGCACCAAUAAGCGUUGAAAAGCUUCUGGAUGAGCCGAGUGUAGGAGUGAAAGGCCAAUCAAACUUGGAGAUAGCUCGUACUCCCCGAAAGGCAUUUAGGUGCCGCGUCGGAUGGUCACCGUGAGAGGUAGAGCGACCGAUAGGACAAGAGGGCUUCACCGCCUAUCGAGUCCUGACGAACUCCGAAUGCUCACGGUCUGCAGUCCGGCAGUAAGGGGGCGGGUGCUAAGGUCCGUCCCCGAGAGGAGAAGAAUCCAGACCGCCGUCUAAGGUCCCGGAGUUCUGCCUGAGUUAGUCUAACGAAGUCUGGUCCCUAUGACAGCUAGGAUGUUGGCUUGGAAGCAGCCAUUCAUUCAAAGAGUGCGUAACAGCUCACUAGUCGAGGGUCCGGGCAUGGAUAAUAAUCGGGUAUAAGGCAGACACCGAAGGCGCGGGAUAGCAUUUAAGAAAGUAUCGGUAGGGGAGCAUACUCACAGCGUGGAAUGGUGUACGUAAGUUAUCCUGGAGCGGUGAGUAAAGCAAAUGUAGGAAUAAGUAACGAUAAGGAGGGUUAGAUUCCCUCCCGCUGUAAGACCAAGGUUUCCCGGGCAAUGCCAAUCAGCCCGGGGUCAGUCGGGUCCUAAGUCUAAGCCGAACGGCGAUGGCGAUGGCAGAGACGGUUAAUAUUCCGUCACUGCCGCAUGGGGCGACGUGGAGACGGAGCAGUGAAACCACCGCGGGGCGACGGAAGUCCCCGUUGAAGAGUGUAGGUGUUGAGGAUGGCAGGCAAAUCCACCGUCCGAGCUGAACUUGAUAGUAUGGAGUCUUCUUCGGAAGAAUCCAAUAGUGUGGGUAAUCAUACUCCCGAGAAAAUCCGCUAAGCUUAACCCAUGCGGCACCCGUACCGCAAACGGACACACGUGGUCGGGUAGAACAUACUAAGGCGUUGAGAGAUUCAUGGUUAAGGAACUAGGCAAAUUGACCCUGUAACUUCGGGAUAAAGGGUCCUCGUGAUGAGCGAGGCGCAGAGAAUAGGUCCAGGCAACUGUUUAACAAAAACACAGGGCUGUGCAAACUCGAAAGAUGACGUAUACAGCCUGACACCUGCCCGGUGCCGGAAGGUUAAGAGGAGAUGUCACUCGCAAGAGGAAGCAUUGAAUUGAAGCCCCGGUAAACGGCGGCCGUAACUAUAACGGUCCUAAGGUAGCGAAAUUCCUUGUCGGGUAAGUUC
rnacentral:rRNA from 1 species